CGGACACAUCACGUUGAAACAUCAGUUCCGUACGAUCACCGACGUAAAGCAACGUCGAACUUGGUCAGUAGCUUGAUGGGUGACCACUUGGAAAGACCAAGUGCUGCAAG